CAAUAGCGUAUAUUUAAGUUGCUGCAGUUAAAAAGCUCGUAGUUGGAUUUCGGGUGGGAAUGGCCGGUCAGCCGUUUCGGUGUGCACUUGCUACGCCCACCUUGCUGCCGGGGACGUGCUCUUGAGUUCACGCUCGGGACACGGAGUCGGCGAGGUUACUUUGAGUAAAUUAGAGUGUUCAAAGCAGGCCUACGCUCUGAAUACAUUAGCAUGGAAUAACACGAUAGGACUCUGGCCUAUCUUGUUGGUCUGUAGGACCGGAGUAAUGAUUAAGAGGGACAGUCGGGGGCAUUCGUAUUUCAUUGUCAGAGGUGAAAUUCUUGGAUUUAUGAAAGACGAACUACUGCGAAAGCAUUUGCCAAGGAUGUUUUCAUUAA
rnacentral:rRNA from 1 species